UCCCUACUCCAUUCCCCUGUCCUCCAGCCGCCGCCUGCUCCUGUCUCCUGCCCUCCACCAGCCCGCCGUCUGAACCCCCGAGCCCCGCCUCCGGCCAGCCCGCCUUCCCGCGGGCCGCCUCCUCCACCAGCCCGCCGGCGCGCGCCGCCUCAACCAGCCAGCCCCGCCCCGCCUCCACCAGUCCGCCGCGCGCCCCGCGCCUCCUCCACCCGUCCCCACGCCUCCGCCUCCUCCACCCGUCCCCUUCGUCGCCGUGGAAGAGGUCGGCCGGCCACCGCUGGAUCGGGACCCGACGGCGUGAGAUCCGGCCGACCGUGGCCCCACCGCCGCCGGAUCGGGACAAGACGCCGUGGGAUCCGGCCGACCCUGCCCCCGCCACCGUGGAUCCAGCACGCCACUGCGGUUUUCGAGGAUCGCCGGAAUGGAGGAUUUUUUCCGUGAUUUGCUCGUGUUGCUGUGAGCUACUGUUGACGGCGGGUCGGGUAAAAAUACCCGCGGGCAACCCGUACCCGUGGCGGGUGGUGGGUUUGGUAAAAUUUCAUUAACGACCGCAGGUAACCGAUGGCUGGAAAAGAGUUUGAAGUACUCGAACUCAAUGGCCACAAUUACCCUACUUGGACAAUGGACGUCAAGAUCGCUCUUGCGUCCCAUGGGAUAGUGCAUGCAAUCCAGAACCCCGAAGGAUCCCGUUCCGGCUAGAGUUGUACCACUUAGAGAUGAGCAGAAAUAUGUUGCCUUGUACAUUAUAAGGCACCAUAUCCACAUAGAUGUGAAGUCUGAGUAUUUGGAGGAGGAAUCCCCACUUCAUUUGUUCGAGGCCCUCAAAACGAGGUAUGUACAGCAGAAGUCAGUUGUCCUGCUUGAAGCAUUCCAUGAUUGGACCCAUCUCCGCAUUCAGGACUUCAAGUCCAUCGGAGAGUACAAUCAUGAGGUUCAUAAAAUAAGUUCCAAACUGUGCUUUUGUGGGAAGUAACCUACUGAUGCGGAAAAAAUAGAAAAGAUUUUGUCUACUAUGCUCCCAUCUGAAAGGCUUCUCCAGCAACAGUACAUAGCUCGUAACUACCAAGUCUAUUCAGACCUUAUUCAUGUCCUCCUUCAGGCAGAAAAGCAUGAUGAGCUCCUCGUUAAGAAUGGCUCUUAGUGCCCGGUUGGUUCUCAACCUCUCCCUGAAGUUCAUAUGAAUAUCGUGAACAGACAAAGGUUUGAUGGUGCUUACAAUGGUAAGCCAUCGAACUUCAAGGGAAAGUGAAAACGCAACCGGAACAGGAAGCCUAGGAACUCAGACCAUGGGAAAAGCACUGCAAGGCCCGAGUUCGACAAAACUAAGCUUUGUGACAAGUGUGGAUGCUACUCGCAUCCUACUAACAAGUGCAGGACCCCAAAGCAUAUGACUAUUCUGUAUCAGCAAUCCCAAGGACGCAAGGCCCCUCAAGGGAAUAGGUUUGAAGCCAACUUCAACCUCCAUCCAAAUGGCAACAAUGAAGUUAGUGGUUUGCAAGACAUUCCUCUAGGACCUAGCAACGCCGUGACUCUCCCGCAGUCAAAGGAUCCCGUGGGCACGGAGGAGAUGAUGGUUGAGUUCACCUCAACCGACAUGUAUGGAGACUUUGAAUAGUUCCUCUAUCUCCUUAGUGGUCAAUUUAAGUAUGUCUAUUUAUGAAGUUGUAAUAAGAACAUAAGUAUUUGUUGACAUUUA